UACGUAGGGUGCAAGCGUUAAUCGGAAUUACUGGGCGUAAAGCGUGCGCAGGCGGUUAUGUAAGACAGAUGUGAAAUCCCAGGGCUCAACCUUGGAACUGCAUUUGUGACUGCAUAGCUAGAGUACGGUAGAGGGGGAUGGAAUUCCGCGUGUAGCAGUGAAAUGCGUAGAUAUGCGGAGGAACACCGAUGGCGAAGGUAAUCCCCUGGACCUGUACUGACGCUCAUGCACGAAAGCGUGGGGAGCAAACAGG
rnacentral:rRNA from 1 species